UCCCAUUAACAACAUCCCACAAAUCCUCACCCACAAGGUAUGAUUCUAUACAUGUCUUGCACACCUUGUAAUUAAAAUGAUUCAACAACUUCAUUCCCAGUCCAUUAAUGCGAACACUUAAAUCUAUUCGGACAAACUAGUUGAAUUGACCACAAACCCAAUCUUGAAAUAAACACAAGCCAAUCUACGAAUUUGGCUCUGAUACCAUGUAGAGAAUAACAUAAGAAAGGUGUAACUAGGGAGACUUUCUGCUAGUCCAAGAGUGUUAACUAAGAUCGAAAGAUUCAACUAAAGAAGAGAAAGCUAUGAAAGAAGAGUUUUGUUAUUAAAGAAGACUUCUUGAUUGAAUUUUUUUUGGUUGGUUACAAAUGUAUAAGACCAUUCCUAUUUAUACUUGUUCAUGAAUGAUUCUAUAAAAU
rnacentral:lncRNA from 1 species